CCACCCCCAGGCUGGCAGGAUGGACCCACACAGUUUUACCACAUUUGGAAGAACCAUCGCUUAGAAACGUUUCCUGGGAUGUACUGAAAUGGAUAUUAUGUGUUACUUGGAGAUGGCGGUGCAGUAGUUCAUGCUGAUGCUGCAGAGCUGAGGACAGCCCCUCUGGAGGAGGCGAGCUGUCUUGUCCGUCAGCAGCAUGCAGCCGCUCAGGUCCAGCUCCCGCAGGAAGUGACCUGUGCCCGCCAGGUACUGCACUGCCAUGUCUGUCAUCUGGGAGAGAACAACAGACUGAUGCUUUGAAAAAGAUCAUUUCUCAUUCAGCACUUAUUCAUCCAUUGUUUUUUGCUGAGGUGGGUAUGACAUCAAAUUCAGUAUUUAAACAUUCCUUUCCAAUAGUGAGUGGGAUGUGGUGUGAGCACCUUUGGGCAGCCUCGCAUGUUCAGGGAGAUGAGGGCCCUGCAGUAGAAUGCCAGGGCCUUGAUGGCCUGGUCAGACAGGGACACGCAGUGAGACACGUCCAGCUGCUCCAGACCCGGCACCUCUCUGCAGAACUUCUACCCUCGUGAGGUGAGAAAGUAUGGGAGAGAAGAGGGCCGAAGUGAGAAGAGUAGGAGAAGGAGGGGCAAAUGACAAUCUAGUUUAAAAGGUGCUGAUGACACGUUGUCUCCUUGACCAGAGGAACUCCCGUCCUGCACCUCUAUGCUGAUGUCUGUGAUCCACACACACUCAGAGGCCACCAGCUUCUUUAGACCACAGUUUCCACCAAGUAACGUCAGUCCCUGUGAACACAACACAGUCAGGGCUACAGAGAGCAGUCAGUCCCUGUGAACACAGUGUGUGUGUGUGCUCUGUCACACCUGGUCCUGGACGUUGCAGCCGCUAAUGUCCAGAGAGAUGACGGAGCUGUUGCUUAGCCACUCCAGGGCUGCGUCAGUCAGGUUUUCACAGUAACGCACACUCAGGUGCCUCAGCUGGGAGCACCUUCACACACAUACACAUUUAAAAACCUGGGAAAAAUAAUGCAUGCACAUGCAUGUCUAUGGAUGUCUACUGGAACACUCACAAAUAUAUAAACACAUAAUAGGUAUUGGGCAGUCUGUAUAUGUGUUUAAUCACUGUAAAUAUAUGUAUGUCCAUGCCCUGUAUAGUACUGUCUGUCCUUGUAUUGUUUUUGUAUUCUGUAUAGUUUUUUUAUUCGAUGUGUCUGAAAUAAAGUUGAAUUGAACUUGAA